rnacentral:lncRNA from 1 species
UUGCUAAAUAGCACCAAAACUUAAUUGAUACUCACCAUUUCAUUGAACAAUUUUUUUAUGGUGUCAUUGAGGUUGCCUUCCCAACAUCCUUCAUCAUCAUCAUCUUCUUCAUCAUCAUCUUUUUCUUCUUCGGUGACGUUCACUUUGUUUAGCAUUGGUGUGUCUAAGACUCCUUGAGAGAAGAUCUUCAUUUUUGGACACAGUCUCACAACUACUUGUUUCAAGGACGGGAAUUCAAGAGCGUAAUUACCUAAACAAAAGCUUGUUAGGCUUGGCAAACAGUCAAGUUCCAAGUACCUCAAUUUCCCAAAAACAAUGCAAUCUUCCGUUUCUUCUCCAACCUGCGACUGUAUAAUUUCUUCCAUCAUUUUGCAAUCAACUAUCUUCAUUCUUCCGAGAUUCACUAGAUUUUUAGAUGCUGAGAGCGUCAACACAUUUAUCAACCCGUGACACUUCGAUACUUGUAGUCCCCACAGAUUUUCCAAAUGCCACGAAGGUGGUACUAAUUUUUGCAACUUACUACAUUCCGAUAUUUCUAGCCUUUCCAAGUUUGCAAACACUUUGUUGGAUUCGUCAUUUUCCUUCCAGAGAUGCUGCACUUUGUGUAAUCCAGACAGUCUUAACUUCCUCAAUUGAGGGAAAGCAACCUGAAAAUCAACAAAGUUAAGUUGUAAAAGAAAAUACGUAUCCAAUCUCUGGAGUCUUCACCUGCAUAUUUUAUGGACAAGAUUAAUCACGGCAUUUUAUAUUUUAUCUCCAAAUUAGUAUGCUUUGUAGUAGGAUCCCAAAUAUAAGUAUCAAAUCGAUUACCCUUUGAAACACAUAAAUGAAAUCUAAUGCUAAAUCCAAUAUGAAUUAGCUAGGAAAACAGAGAUGUUACACACAUAAUUAAUAUAGUUCAUCACCUCGUGUUAUCAGGCAUCCAAUUAAUUUCAGUCAUUUUUAUAAUUCAUACUAUAAAGAUAGUUAAUAACUGAGGUUAUAUUGUUAAAUCAUAUAUAAAUUAAGAUGACAUGCAAAAAGAUGAGUCAUUAAAUUUGACUUGAUUCUAAUGAAAUUACAUCUGUGCGAACAAAAGUGAAGGGAAUAAUAAUAAUAAUAAUAAUAAUAAUUACCUUUUCAUCGAAGAGGGGUUGUACUUGAUGAGCCAGCAAGAAGUACUCUUCUAAUGUUAAUUUUUGAGGUUCCUUGUUAUCAGUUGUCACAUGCACUACAGAGUUGGAUAUAAAUGUUUCCAUAUCAGGGCAAUUCUCAAUAGUCAGACUCCACAACAUAGGCAUUUCAAUUAUAUUCCCAGUGAAGUUGCAGAAUCUUUUGAGUUUUGGAAGAUCAAUGAGCGUUAGGCUAAAAAGCCUAGGAAACAGGGGGCCUAUAUGUUCUUUGUCAGCAUUUAGCUCUUCCAAAUGAAGCAUCUCUUCUAGUGAAUCACAAUUCCUCACUUCCAGCCUUGCCAAAUUGUUCAAGCAUCGUAGCAGAUUGGCAGGAAUAGCACUCGACAUAUUGGUGCAGUAAUCCACCUCCAGCUCUGCUAAAUAGUUGAAGAAGCGGACAGGCAGUGCUUGGCCAUGCCAUAUUUCUUUCAAACGUGGAAAAUGUGAGAGUUGCAAAUACUGUAUGUCACGGAAUCCAAUCUGCACAAACCAAAACAAUUGCACUGGAUAUAUAUAAAUACAUUAAACUUACAUGUUUUGUGUUUUAACUUCUAAAACUAUAUAUACAAGGCAGGUGUAUAUGUUCAAAUGUCCAAGUGCAAGGGAGAUGCAUAAGUAAUUUCGACGAAUCGAUUUAACACAUACCAUUUCUUCGUAACACUUUUGUAUAGUGGAAUUAAGGUUGCCUUCCCAACGGCGCAAUUCACCCUCUCCCUGUUAAGAAUAGAAUUAGUUAGUUAAUGAGUAUGCUGACAUGGCAGCUGAGUCAGCUAAAGGUUGUUAUAGAGGUUGUUAGUAGUAAACUGUGCGUGUGUGCAAUGUGUGUAGAAUCUUCUAUGCACAUAUAAAAAGGCUUGCAAUUUCCAGAUUCAUUAGAUCAAUAAUAACAGAAUUCUCAGCUUACAGAAGUUUUCUUUCCUGCACUUUGUACAGCUUUGGUGUGGAUAAGAUUCCCUGGGGAAAAGUCUUCAUGUUCGGACAAUGUGUCACCGAAACUCGUUCCAAUGAUGGGAAUUCAAGAGUGUAAUUCUCCAAACAAAAGCUGGUAAGCCUUGGUAAAUAAUCAAGUAUCAAAACUUUUAAAUUAAAACAAAAAUAAAUAAAUAGAAGUCCAGAAAAACAAAGAUAAUGAAAAUGCAUUUACACUAAAACGCUGUAUUUCCCUUUUUUUUUUCCCGAUAUUCAUGCUUUUAAAAAUGGAAAACAUUUCUGGAAAACACUUCCCAACGCCAUCAACAUGGGACUGUUACAGAGUGAAUAUUUGAGGAAAUUUUUUAAUAAACGGUCGAUUCAAAAUGACCAUCAUGAAUUUGUGCUUAAUCAAUGGCGUAAUCAAUUCAUAACUAAACUAGAGAUAUUAACUACAUUUGAACACUUUGCUUUAUUUAUUUUUAAAUCGAAAUCUAAAGACCAAGGAAAAGAGAAAUAUAUAGGAAUUUGUGAACUUAAAAGCUGAGUAACUAAGUAUCUUUUAAUUUCUGAAAAUCUUAUUCAUUAGGAUUUAAGGAAAAAAAACAAUUAAAUUAAAUUAUAUUAUGCUGUUAAAUCGUGUUUAAAAUAAUUAUAUUGUUGACUUUAAUGCAGGUGAACCUAUAAAUUAGAUUGAAAAUGCAGAGUUCAGAAUGGUGAUUUGAAGUACAAUACUUUUUUUCCCUCUAGAAGUUUGAAGUACAAUACUUGCAAUAAAUAAUUUGUGAAUGAAAAUUAUUUGUAAACAAAAAAAUGAUUAAAAUAAUUGUUGAAUGUUAUUUGAAAUAAAAAUUCAAAAUGAAUAUAGCAAUCUUACCAAUGGAGGAAAAAUAUUCAGUAGAUUAUGACACACAGAUAUCUCUAAUUUUUUCAAUUUGCUAAAAGACUUCGAAGCAAGCUGGUGGUGCCAUAUUUUUCUCAACUUAUCCGCCCCACGAAUAUGUAAUACCUCCAGACUUGGGAGUCGUACCUGAAGUUAAAAAUUCAAUGCAAUUAGAGAUGGAUAUUAAUUAAAUUUGAAGACUCAACGAAAGAAGAAAUUAACUAUUAAGAAUAAAAUUAAUUUAAAAAAAAAACCUUUGCAUCAAAGAGAGGUUGAGGUUGCAUUUCAGAAUUAGCUUCUGGUGAGGCAAAGCUACUUAGUUUUGGAAGACCAUCGAGCUGCAGGAAGUGUAGUUUAGGAAAAACCUUAAAUUCAUCUCUUCCUCCUAACCCCGUGGUGUUGACUAUCCCUUCCAUUGACCAACAAUUAAUAAUCUCAAGAUGUCGGAGCUGCCCAAGACUAUUAGCCAUAGAAUAUGAAAACAUAUACUUCAGAGGACAACACCUUGUCACGGUCACUUUUGUUAAAUUUUGACAACAAUACAUUCCCUGAAAUUGAUCGGGCCAUAAUUUUUUGAUGUUUGUUAAACUGACAAGUUCCAGUUCCUCCAAGCGUGGAAAAGUAACCUGCAAAGAAAAACCAUACAUUUUUUUUCCUUCAACUACAACUUCUAAUAUAAUAUUCUUUCGAUGAUUGAAGAUCAAUCGUGAUAAUAUAUUAAUUAAUUAAUUAUUAAACAGAAAAUUAUCACCUGAUCAUCCUCUGCAUUGAUUUCUGUGAAUCCCUGAGUAGUUGUUGGUUUCUCCAUGUCGGGCCCUAUAAAUGAACAAAAACAAUAUAUGAUUAACCUCUGUUGUCCCCUCCCAAAACAAAAAAAAAAAAAGAAUGAGCCAAUGUCAAUAAUCCUACCAAUAAUUAAUUUAAACACUUACCAAUCAUCAUUUUCAAUUUAUUGCAAUUUACCACUUCUACUUUUUGAAGCCCCAAUAGGUUUUUGGCCAUAGAGAAUGAGAAGAGAUACUUCAAUUUUGGACAGGAAUAUACGUAUAUAAUCCUUAAGUUGCUGAAAGAUUGAUCUUCUCUGAGUUGGCUGUAGCAUAUCGUCUCCAAAUUAGUUAAAUUAAUAAGAUCCAAUGAUUCCAGCAAGGGAAAGACUUCGCAACGAACCCGUCUAACUGAACCGACAAUAUGUAAAAUCUCAGAACAACCUGUUACAUGAAGAUGCUGCAAUCGUGGAAAACCUUCCCCAUCGUCUAAUUCAUGAACAACAUUCUGAACACCCGUCAGUGAGUAUAGACGGAGAUCUUCAGUUCUCUUCAGCAACAUUUUCGUCCCAUCAUUCCCCAAAAGAAGGCUAACUUUUUCUGGCCCCUUGAGCACCAUCAAUGUUGAUGUUUUAGAUUCGACGAGUCGUCGGUUAGACAUUUGUCCUAUAAAUAUCUUAUAUCUUUCCAAUUCCAUAGAGACAAAAUCCGGCGGCAGAAUUUCGGAAUCCGAAACAUCUAUCUCCAAAGUAGUUAGAUUUGACAACCCCUUCAACUCGACAAGACUGGCAUUACUUCCUCCUUCAACCUUAUCCCACUGUGAAAAGCUGUUAUGCAUAAACAGUUCUUCUAAUCCAGAUAAUUUUGAUAUGACAUUUGGUGGUAUCAACUCAAGGCUCCAACAAUUGCUCAAAUCUAGCAACUGUAACCGCGUCAAUCGUCCAAUUUCAAGUGGUAACUGCUUGAUAUCGGAAUCUGCAAGGCUGAGAAUCUCUAAUUUCUUUAGCUGUCCAACUAUUGCUAUAUCUUUUAGUCGGCAAUAGUCUAAACGCAAUGUUUGAAGGUUAAUGAGGCAACCAAGUGAUGAAGGUAAUGAAGAGAAUUGAAUUCGAGUAAAAUUCAAAACUUUGAGUCCUUCCGUCCCUUUAAAGAAGUGAUCUGAAACUUGCAUAGAGCCAUCACCCUCCGCAUGCAAUAGCUCAAGACAGGGACAUUGCAACCUUUCAGGAAGCACUUGAAUACCUCCAUAAGGUAAAGAAAUAGCAAUUGGACCUUCCUGUACUGUAUCUUCCAUCUUUUUCUCCAAGUCGGCAACAUUUGGAAUAUUAAACAUGAGCUCCUCUUCUGCAAUUGAUACAGCAACUACACGAAUGACGUCAUGCAUUUUAACUUCAUCUUCAGCAUCACUGUCCAACAAUAAGCAUGAAGAUUUGAGUUUGUCGAUCAACGUAUGCAAUCUCCUCCUUGCUUCUUCCAGUGAGUAAACCUUUUUAAAAUAGUCCAUACCCAUACCAUAUCUCAAUAAGUCUGGAACAGGUAUAGCAUAACCUUUACUAAGUAGACCACAAAGACGGAACAGAGAUUUUGCCUCCGCACUUUCCAGCAAGUUGUAACUCAAUUUUAUGGAGGUGUACACAUUUCUUUCCAUUCCAUCAAUUUCUCUUGCAUCGGAACUUCUUAGCUGAUUCAAUGCAUCCUUCCAAAUGUCAAGAUCCUUAGUUUUCAGAGCUUUUGCAACUGUACUCAGUGCAACAGGCAAUCCUCCGCAUUUUUCAACGAUCUCAUCUGCAGUGGGUUGAAAAGCAGAUAUUUUAGUUGAAUCACCCACUAUCUUCUCAAAUAACUGCAAGGCUUCUUCUUUUGAUAAAGCAUCGAUCGGGAAAUUUUUCUGAGAAUUCAUAUCAGUGCACAAUAAAUCUCGACUUCUAGACGUCAGUAUUAUUGUGCAUCGUCUCUGAUCAUCCAUUCUUUCGUUCGGAAUCCCAACUUUAUCGAACUCCAGUUCCCCCCAAAUAUUAUCCAAUAUAAUGAGAUGCCGCUCCUUGUUCUUCAAUACUCGACAUAGUCGAUUUGCUCUGUCGAAUAUACUCUCAUUCAACUCAAACUUUAUGCCUAAAUCAGAAGCAAGUUUGUCUUGAAUUUUCUGAUGAUCUGGGUUCUCUGUUACCUCAGCCAUAGCGACCUUAUCGAACAACUUAUUUGUUUCCAUCACUUGCUUUGCAACUUGCUUGACUAGCGUGGUUUUACCCACGCCGCCCAUGCCGUAGACCCCAAUUAUGUUGAGUUUCUCAUCCUUCAACGCCUCCAUAACAUCCAGUAAUACUUUCUUUCUUGAAUCAAAGGCCUCGUUAUCUUUCCCGCCCCUAAGUGCUUCGAUAUCUGCAGAAGGAUCGAAGGCAAUUUCUUCACUCUUCAGUUUGUCGCCUUUUUCCAUGAGAUUAGCAGCAUCUUUUGCGGCCUUUGCUGCUCGUUUACUGAGUUUGUAACGAGACAACAAAUUUGCACACAAUCCUUUGAAGCAGGACUUCUUGGCUCCAUCUUCUUCAUCAAUGAUAGAUUUUGCAACCCCCUCCGUAGAUUCAACCUUACUUCGCCAAUCUUUGACACCCUGAUAAAUCUCUUUGCCUUGUCGAGUAUCAUGCUUAACACGUUGUUGCACCAUUUCGUUUAUACCUUCCAACCCCUUCACUUGAUCUUUUAGCUCAUCUAUGUAGCUCUGGUACUUGAACACAUAAGAUAUUUGCCGUAUAAUCGGUUUGAACAGUGACUUUGCACCUUCUAAUACAGUGCUGGAUAAAGCAGCCAGAGCCACUUCUGCCAUUGUCUGCUACUUAACAAAUCUAAUAAUAUAUCAAAGAAAGGAAUACAAAUAAAUUAAAAGGAACUAAAGGGAAAGACAGAGAAAGAAAAGACGGCAAACAACAUCGCAAUAUUGAUCUUGAACCAACUGAUACCUAAAUAGAGAAUUUCUUUUACUAUCUUAAGGAUCAGAGGUUUCGCUAUUAACCGAAAGGUAUCGCUUCUAUUUUGUCACUUUGAACGAAUAACUUUAUGUUUUUAACGGAUGUUUAAUACAAAUUGCAUACAUUGGGUGUAAAAUUAAAUAAAUUUAAAUAUUUAUAAUAAUUUUAAUAAUUGAAUAAAACUUUGAGUAAAUGACUGAUAAUUUCUCUAAGAUGAUUUAUUGUUUGGGGUCUAAGAUUUUAAAUAUUCAACUUAAAAGAUUAAUAUCUUAUAAAUUGAUUAAUUAAUUAAUCAUUAAGCAACUAAAUUGGUCCCUGGAUGUCAAUUUAUUUAAUAUUGACGCAACUAUUUUUUUUUCUGGCAAAUAAUUAUUAAUGCACUUAGGGCGUGUUUGGUUAUAAUAUUAAGAGAGUAUUAAAAUAUUGUUCACAUUAUCUUAAUGCCAAUAUCAUGUUUGGGGGUAUGGGGGAUUAUGGGGGUAUGCUAAUGCGGCAACCUGACUGUGAGUCGGGAAAAGCUAAUGAGGCAACUUUGCUUGUGCUGCUUCUUUUUUUUUUUUCUUUUGCUUUCUUUUUUGCUUUUUUUUAAUAAUAUUAAAUAAUAUAAAUUUUAAUUUAAUUUAAUAGAAUAUUAUAUAAUAUUAAUUUUUAUUUUCUCUUAUUUUGACAUCAUAAUUAUUAAUAUAAAUUAAUUAUUUUUAUUCAUAUUUUAAUUUUUAUUACUAAAUAAUAAUUAUAUAAUAAUUAAUAUAUAAAAUUGAUUAAUAAAUACUUAAAUAAUAUAAAAAUAAGAAUAUAACUUGAUAUUACAUUAUUUAAUUAUAUUAUAGUAAUUAAUAUAUAUGAAAAUUUAAUAUAACUAAUAAAAAUAUUUAUAUAUGAAUAAAUUUAAAUAAUAUUAAUUUAAAAUUAAUAUUAAUAAAAAUAAUAAUAUAAAAUAUCAUUAUGUUAUGAUAUUAUUUAGGUAUUAAUAAAUAUUAUUUUCUAAAUAUAUAAUUUAAGUUAAUCACAAAAAAUUAAUACAGUACAGUGUAGCACCAAACAUUGUAUUAUGCUGUAUGCCUGUAUUGUAUUAGCACUGAUUGGGUGUAAAGCGUUUGUAAGUGGCUUUUUAAGUCUGCCGUCAAAUCCCCUGCAAAAGCUUUUUUCUUAAUAUCACGCGUGUUGGUACUACAUAAAACCGUAAACUCCAACAAUUUCUUAGUUCUCAACACCCCUUAAUUUACAAGAAUUAAUCACUUCAAGGGUGGAUUAGGUAUAUCUUUAGUUCAUAUAUAACUAGCAAUAUCUAAUAUCCCAUAUACAUGUUUUUCUCCCAGAAUGUAAACCAACUAUUCAUAUCUUAGACUCCAAGUAUUCGUAUCUUAAAGUCAAUCGAUAAUAUUAAUUUAAAUUUAAUAAUAAUAUAAAAUAUUAAUAUAAUAUAAUAUUUAAUUUAAAUUAAUUACAAACAAAUAAUAUAGUACAAUGUAGCACCAAACAUUGUAUAGCAUUAUUAUAAUACAAUGCUAAUGCAAUACAAUAUAAUAUAAUCCACCAACAUUAAAAUAAUAUAAUAUAGCAUAAUACAAUACAGUGUGUCAAAUGCACCCUUAGGGUGUGUUUGGUAUGUGGUAUUGCAUAGCAUUAAAUGUGGGCCCAACAUUAAUUUAAACCAAUAACAUGUUUGGGAGCAAUUGAGGCUUAUUGGGAUUGGCUGCUGUACCGUACAUCCGCCUUGGCCGUACAGCAGUUUAAAAAAAAAGUAACUCAAAAACGAGGAAUUUUUGAGUAACUGAAGAACCAUAGAUGUUAGCUUGUCUUUUUUUUUUUACUUUUAUUUAAUAAUAAUAUAAAUGAAUAAAUAUAUAAUUUUUAAUUUUUAAUAUAAUAUUAUUUUUAUUUUUAUAUCAUAAUUUAUUAAUAAAUUUAUAAUUUAAUACUGCUNNNNNNNNNNNNNNNNNNNNNNNNNNNNNNNNNNNNNNNNNNNNNNNNNNNNNNNNNNNNNNNNNNNNNNNNNNNNNNNUACGGUACAGCAGAUAUAUAAAUUAUUUAUUUUUAAAUAAUUUAAUAUAAAAAAUAAAAAAAUAUUUAAAUACAAAUGAAUUUCAAUAAUAUUGAUAUACGAUUAAUAAUAACAUAAAUAAUAAUAUAAAAUAUUAGCACAAUUCAUUUUGCUAUUAAAUAUGUUAUAACAAUUUUGUCAUUUUAUAAUUUUGUGGUGUAUAUGAACAUAUGUCUUAAGAUUAUUUUUGAACAAAUCUUGUAGGUUUUAACUAUUUAUUUUUCUUGUUAUAUUAUUUCAAGAUUAUUUGAUUAAAUUAUUUGCUUCGAUAUUUAACAAGUUAUAUAUUUAGAAAAUAUAGAAAAUAAAUGUUAUGCUUCCAAAAAUUAAAGGAUAUAACGUUCGAUCUUUAUGAAGAAUUAUGAUAUUUUUGAACAUUUAUACUAAAAAAUUAUUAAAUUUUUAGAAAAUUAAAAGAUAUAACAUUCGAUCUUUAUGAAGAAUUAUGAUAUUUUUUAACAUUUAUACUAAAAAAAUAAUUAAAUUUCUAAAAUUUAAGACCUCUAUAUUUAGUUUUUUUUAAGUACUAUUAAUAUUAUUUUAUAAAUAUAUAAUAUAAAUUAAUUACAAAAAAUUAAUACAGUACAGUAUAACACCAAACAUAAUAUAAUUAAAAAUUAAUACAGUACAGUGUAAUACCAAAUAUUGUACAAUAUUAUUAUAAUACAGUACUAAUGUAAUACAACAUAAUACAAUACACUGCAUAAAAAUAAUGUAAUUUAGUGUACCAAACACACCCUUACAGAACUUUUGCAUAUCUACACAGCGAUUUUAAAUAUUACUGAUAACUCCUGAGAAAUGUGUGAGAAAGGAGUUGAUAAGAGUAAUAACAGCGACUUGCAAAAGGAAAAGACAGAAUCAUUCACCCCUUUUUAUAUCAUGUAUUUGGUUACUGUUGCCCUGUUGACGCAUGUAUAAAAUAACCGUAUGUAUUUUUUUUGGCUGUUGCUUAACAAAAUGUGUGUUUGUGUGUGUAUAUAUAUAUAUUUGCUGUUUGAAAAAAUUGGAUUCAAAUAAAUUAAAAUGAACUAGAGAGGAAGAGAAAGAAUGAAAAGACAACAAACAAUUGAUAUUGAUCUCGAACCAACUUCUUUCUUUCUUUCUUUCUUUUUUGUGUUUUUUUUUUCGCCCGUACCCCCUCUCAGAUUAGAGUAUUGGCUAUUAAAUGAAAGGUUUUAAGGGUAUGAGUGAAAAACAACAUUCUUUUUUAGAAACUAUUUUAGAGGAGGGAUGCAAAUUAAAUGACAAGAUUAAGACAAACAGGAGAUAUUUUUUCGUGGGCAUUAAGAAAUAACUGCUGUCAAGAUCAAGGAGAUUAUGCUAUUAAUAGAAAUUAUCAAAGGAUUUAGAACAAGUUCACCUCUUUAAUUAUCCGGGAUCAGAUAGUUGAUGAGCUUCUCUUCUUGGCGUUGAAUAUUUAAGAAUAAUUUUAAUGAGCAAAAAGAUCACUGGUAACUGCUGAAAAAUAAGUGAGAAAAGAGUUGAUGAGAAUAAUAACAAUGAAUUGAAUAAAAAAAGGACUUAAUCAUGCACCCCCUUUGCAUAUCAUGUAUUUGGUUACUGUUGCCUUGUUGACGCAUGUAUAGAAUAAUUAGUGACUUCUUUCAUGAAGAAUUAAACUUGGAAUGACCAAAAGACGAAGCUGCGGUGUAUUGUUGGACCCAAUUAAGUUGAAGAAAGCACUAGUUCACAACCUUACGUUUGGAUAUAUUCUAAAGAAAUAAUUAAACAGCAAAUCAUCACAUGCACUUUAAUGAUUUGAUCUAUUGUUUUCAAAAGAAAUUGCAAUUAACAGUUUUUGUCAAAAGUUCGCACUGCGUGAAACUAGUGCUAAUAUAAUUUAAAAAAUUAAUUUCAGUAUUAGUUUUUAAAAUGUUAAUUAUUAUAUUUAUUUUAAUAAUAUAUUUAUAUUUAUUAUAAAAAAUUCUGUUAAACAUUUGUGUUAAAUAGAAUUUAUAAUUAAUAUAAUAUAUCUUAGGUAUUAAUAAUAUUAUAAUUAUUCUAUAUGCUAUUGAAAAUAAUUUAAAUUUUUAGACGUUUAUUUUCAUAUUAAGUUUCUAUUUAUUAUAAAAUUUAGUUUAAUAUAGUAUAAGCUUGUAAAGUAUUAAAAUAUUUUUUCAUAUUUUUUGAACAUAUUAAAAUUAUUUUAAAAUAUAUUUAUAUAUUAACAUUGAAGUCAAUUUUUUAAGUUAAUAGAACCAGUAGGUGUUAUAGUAAAAAAGCGUUUCUUAGCAUCACUUAUUGAAAAUAUAAAGAUCUAUAUAAUCAUUUUUUCAAAUAUUGAGAUGUAGUUAUAAAAGAAAAAAUAAAUUAAAAAAUUUUAAAUUUUAAUAUGGCCAUCGUAGAGUUAGAAUCCCCGCUCCAACCCGAUUUGGAGAUGAGCUUGGUCUAUUUAUGUUUUGGAAAAAGAAAAACCAAAGGAAAAAAAAGGCACCCGACCAAAUCAAGUAACUCAUCAAAUAAAAAAUAAAAAAAGGAAAGAAAUUUAAUGACUUGCAUGCAAUUUUGGAUCUGAAAUUAAAAUUACAUAAAAAUUAAGGAUUACGUACCUUAAUAUUUACAGCUUAUUUGAUGGACUCAACAGGUUUAAGCAACAUCAAAAUGUUUGUGGCUCCUUAAAUGAGCCCCCGACAUGGUGCAAAUGACAACAUCGACUUGUUUGACAGCUCCAACAAGGCUACGAUGAUCAGAAGAUGAGCCCUCAAUCAACAAGCUAAGAUUGGCUUCUCUAUCCUCUUCGCCCCACAACCAGCGCCUUGCUCUUUGUCAUUUUUCCUCUUGUUAGUUUUCUUCUACAUAUAAUUAUUACACUGGGAAGUAUACACACACCUCUUUUCUUUUUAUAGUACCUUACUAUUAUAUCUUUACAAAACAAUAUCACCCUAAGACAGCUAUGUAUGAAAUAAAUGAAAUAAAUAUAUAAGGAACUGACGAAAUAAAAUUAGAUCUAACUCUAAUUUCACGUUGCGUGAAUUUUUGACAAUUCACCCGUAUCCCAACAAAAGCUUUGUCAUAUUGCGAAAAUACCUUUUCAAUGUUUCAAUUGCAAUGUCAUUGCCAUUAUUCAUAGUGGCAGACAAUGGACGUCACGGGACGGUAGAAGUCUAUGUUACGGCUUGUGCAAGUAACAGCAGCCAAUGGGGAACUUCCACGGGUGCUAGAGGAGAGAGAAAGAGGUCCCAAUGCAAGGUGAUGGAAAUGGGAAAGUUCGAAGCUGUUACUUUCAGCUUCUGCACCUUAGCCAUGUCCCACGGGACAAGGCUAGAAGUUAUCAUGACCAUAAACUUUUCUAAUUUAUUUUUUCCUUUCAAAAAGGGACAAGGAUACGUUUCUUUGGAAGAAUGAUUAUAUUUUUAAUAAAUUCUUUUUUAUUAUAAUACUUUUUGUCUUUAUUAAUUUAAAAAUAUUGACUCUUAUAUUUUAAUAAAUAUAAAUAUAAUAUUAUAAUAAAAUAUAACAAUAUAUACAAAUAUUUAAAAAAAUUUAAGAUUUUAUUAAAAUAAAUUUUAUAAUAAAUACAAAUAUAUUAUUAAUAUUAUUUUUUCCCUUUCAAAAAGGGAAGAGGAUAAGUUUGGAAGAAUGAUUAUAUUUUUAAUAAAUUCUUUUUUAUUAUAAUACUUUUUGUCUUUAUUAAUUUAAAAAUAUUGACUCUUAUAUUUUAAUAAAUAUAAAUAUAAUAUUAUAAUAAAAUAUAACAAUAUAUACAAAUAUUUAAAAAAAUUUAAGAUUUUAUUAAAAUAAAUUUUAUAAUAAAUACAAAUAUAUUAUUAAUAUAAUUAUAAUAAUUUGCAUUUUAAAAAGUAAUACUGAUAUUAAUUUUUUAAAUUAUAUUACUCUACCAAAAAAAUUAAACUAUUAAAUUAUAUUGAUAUUUAUUAAAAAAAUUGAAGUUAAUUCUUAUUAUAUUUUUAAUUGGAAUUUUUUCAUGUGACAUAAUUACAAUUGCUACAUUUUUUUCCCUAAAUAAAGAUGGGAGUUAUAAAUUAUUUGUAUAAGUGUCUGUGUGUAAACUAAUGUGACAUGAAAGUAAUAGCUGAAUAACAAUAAUGGAGCUUUAGGUAAUUUUUUAUGAGGUCUUCUUGCAAUUUCAACACUUAAACAGACUUGUCCUUGAUCCCAAUUUAUUUACCCCAUUUGGGCCCCUUAUGACAAACAUAUUCUUGUGGAAUGAAAAACAUCAGGAGAAGAAAAUGUUUUAUUAUAAUAGAAAAAGUUGUCCAUAAGUCUAUUCAUUUUUUUUUUAUUCAAUACAAAUGGCCAACUUAAAAAAUGGUAAAAAUCACAUAACACACAAGCGAAAAUUUAUAUUUACAUUUUUUAAUUCUCACCGUGUCUCUCUUUCUCUUUUUCUUUUUUUAAAUAACUGUCGUGCAAAAUUAGAAAAAUCUUAGAUACAAAAUUUGGCGAUGACCAAACAAAAAUUGCAGGGGAAACCUUGAUAUCAUUGAAAUACUGAUCAUAGACAUUACAGUAUAAAUAACUUGUGAUCCCCUCAACUUGUAACACUUUAAUCCAUAUUCUAAAAUUUGUAUGUUCGUUAGGAUUUUUAUUAUUGACAUUACUGUAUCAAUAAAAUUAUAAUUUAUUCAUAUGGAAUGAAAACAUCAAGAAAGGACCUCGGAUGUUUAUUAUAACAGAAAAAAGUGGUCCAUAAGUCUAUUUAUUAUUUUAUUUAUUCAAUACAAAUGGCCAACUGCAAAAAUGGUAAAAAUCACACAAUGCACAAAUAAAAUUUUAGAAUUACAUUUUUUAUUUCUCUUUGAGUCUCUCUCUCUCUCUCUUUCUCUCUUUAAAAAAUAAACCUCAAUGUAAAAUUAGAAAAAUUUUAGACGUAAAAUUAGAAAAAUUUUAGAAUUUGACAAUCACCAAACAGAAAAUAUAGGGAAAUGUAAAAUUUGUAUUAGAAUAUUGAUCAUAGGUACUAUAAUGAAAAUGAUUUGUUGUGGUUCAUUCAAGCUGUCACACUCUAAGCCAUUUUCUAAAAUUUGUAAGGUUUAUAAGAUUUUUAUAAUUGGCAUCAUUGUAUCAAUAAUAUUAUAAAUUAUAUAUUCUAUUGUAAUGAAAAUUUGUGUAAUCUUAGGUAUUUAUUAUAUUAAAUUGUGUGGAUUAAUUAAGAAUAUUUUUGGAGACAAAAGAAGUGUGUGUACGUAGGAUUAAUAAUAAAAAAUUUCUAAAUAAAGGUGAUUGCUUCAUUGACAAGUACAUAUUUAUAUUCCUCUAUUAGUAAUUGGGUUGUAAACUCUGUUUGUAAAGUGAAUAUAUUGUGGUAAGCGAUGUGGGCAAUAUCGGAUGCAAAAUAUUGAGAGAUCAUUAACGCAUAUAUUUAUUGAAGACGCAUAUAGAGGAAAGAUUUUAAUUUUUGACCCCUGAUUGUGAUUUUUUUUUAAAGCACCUGAAUUUUGAAACAAUUAAUUAUCUAUUGAAAAAGAAAGAAAGAAAAGGAAAACAAAAGGAAAAGGGCACUUGCUCCAAGAAAGUUCUACUUUAAUGUGGCAAAUCAUUGAAACACCACAUGGCCAAAACUUUACUCUAUGCAUGACAACUCAUUGUAAUUGAUAAUGACCCUCGCAAACACUUGGCUACCAUGCGUGUAAUUCUAAGGCCAAGUGCUAAUUUGGUUUACUGAUGAAGAUGCUGAGCACAAGCUUCUGAAAAUGCAGAAUUACGAAUUUUUCGAAAGACUGCGAACCUUUAUGGAGAAAGACAACUAGGCCACUGGAAAACAUGUCGGUGGGAAAAUAAUUCUGAUGAUCGUUCAGCUCGUCCUUUGCUUCAUAAUUACUUUCUUCUUUCUUAAUUUCUCUCAUGGGUCUCGGUUUCUUCCUGAAGCUUGUUGAUGAUGAGUUGCAUAUGCCGAUAAUUCCUCACCAGAAAAUAAGAUGAAAAGGUAACUUUCUUAAUUUUUAAAAUGCUGAAUUUCAAUUUAAGGUACUAUUCAUUUUGUCUCUUUCAAGUUAUUUUUCAUUUUUCUGCUGAUAUUUUAAUAUUUACAGUCAAUUGUAGCAUUACUUAAAUUUAUAGUAUGUAGAUCAUAAUUCAUAAAUUAGUUUGCAGUUGGAGUAAACUCGAAAAUGUUAAAAAAAUAAUAAUAACAACAAAAAGAGUAGAGACAAGUUGUCAUCUUGAGUAACAAUAAAAUAAAGAAUUGCAGCUUUUACAAAGUCUUUCUUUAAAAAUAUGAAAUGAAUAAAAUGACUAUUAAAAUGGUUCAAAAUUUUCUGAUAGCAUAAUUCAUAAAUUAGUUUGCAGUUGGAGUAAACUCAGAAAUGUUAAAAAAAUAAUAAUAAAAACAAAAAGAGUAGAAAUAGGUUGUCAUCUUGAGUAACAAUAAAUAAAGAAUUCCAGCUUAUACAAAGUCUUUCUUUAAAAAUAUGAAACGAAUAAAAUGACUAUUAAAAUGGUUCAAAAUUUUCUAAUACUGUCAUUGACUAGCUAGAUCAAUUGUUUCUUGUGUGGUAACUUCAAACACCAAAUCCUUAAAAGCAAUUAUAUUAGUUUUGUAUGGUGUUGCCCAGCCUUCUGCACAUGGUUCAUGAUAUUUGAUCCAACUAUUCGCAAUAGGAGGAAUAGGUGAAGCUGGAAGCAUGAACACCUGUAAAAAAAAAAAAAAAGCCAUAGAAAAAUUAGUCCAAUAAUUAAGAUAUUGCAGCAUAAUUUGAAUUUCUAAACUUUUACAUACCUCUAUGAAAUGAUUUCUAUUAACAAAUCCAAUAGCAAUGAUUUUAUGCGAGGAGCGUGAUAAUGGAAUAGAUCUAAGUGGAAGGAAUGUGACAAUCAGCACAUCUGAUAUAUGUAGUAAUACCACAUUAUAUUUAGAAGCAAUAAUAUGACCAAUUUCAGGCAUGGUCAUCCAAUACUCUCUUCCUGGGUUAUUCUCAAAGUAUAAAAGUGAAUGAAGCACCUCCUCUGCUCUACCAGCAUAUUCAAAGACUCUUUUAUAAUCAUUAAAGUGACUUUGCAACUCAACAACUAAGACUUUCCUGACUUGUGCCCAGUUAUCUUCACCAAUACCUAUUAGGUCAGCCACUGCCUGAAAACCACAAUUACCAUCUGCAACAACAUCUCUAACACCACAAAUAUAAGGCCUCAAACCAAAUGGAAAUGAAUCAAUAUAAGAAGCAUGCUUUGGUGCUUUUGUUUGAGAAACACUCAUUUUUCGUUGCCCUUUUGGUUUUUUUGUAGUUGUACUUGAAGACAUAAUGUCUGGAGAAUGAUUAUCCUGUGCGGAUACUACAUACUCAAAUCUUGAUGGAUCUCGGCGGGUAGAUUUAUCAAGCUUUUGGGAGGGUCGUCCUCGAGUCUUAGCUUUAACAGGUAGCUCAAUUAAAAAAGUUAAGAAUGGAUCAGCUAAUUCUUUCAGUUUUCUUUUUAUUUGCAUUUUUCCGAAACCAUCUGAAUCUUCAAAACGCUUGAUAAUCAUUUCCAUUUUAGGGGUACAACUCAACUCUGCUGAUUUUUCAUAGCUGGUGCAGACAAGGUCUAAUUUCCUCCAAUGCAAAUGUACAGAAUCUAAAGGUAUCGGUCGACCUUCACGCUUAUACUCUGCAAUUUCAUGUGCACACGGUAGCCCAUAAGUGUGUCGAACUACACAACCACAUGCUGAAAUAUCUAUACCAAUUAAAUCAGCUCUUUUUGACUCACUUAGUAUCAUAUCUAAUGCAUUUCUAGCAACUAAUCCCCUUAAUUCUUUAAAAACUGAAGGUGUGAAACUAUGUUGCACAGUAGUCAAACUCUUCUCAAAUGAUGCCUUAAUUUCUGUAUGUUGCAACUCUACCAAAGAAUGAAGUUUUGUCCAUAACGUUACAAAGUUUCCUUGGGAUGAACAUAGUUGCCUUUUUAAUUUUGAAUGUGCAGUCUCAGCCCUAAAAAUAAACCAACAAAAAAAUAAUAAAAAGAUAUAUAAAAAAAUGGUGUUGAGUUUAGUUAUAAAAUCAUUGAAAACUAAAUAUUGUUUACCUGUUGGUUGUCAUAUUUCCGAAAUGCAUAAUAAAGUCUGUCCAUGCUGCAAUAAAUUUUUCUUUAUACUUAUCAAGCCAUGUCUGCUUCAUAUAGACAAGUGCUUUCGGAUAUCUAGCAUAAUCACUCUAAAAAAUACUCAAGUGUUGUAUGUACUCUUGUUCAGUGGCUGAGAACACCAGUACAUUCCAGUUGCUGUUAAAGGCUUCCCAUCUUUCAUUAGUAUGAAAUAGCCUCUUAUAAUUAGCUAACACAUUUUUUGAAAUAUGCCAUCUACAAAGUAAAUUAGUUGCACUUGGAAAUAUCUUUUCAAUGGCAUUCAUCAGAGCUAAUUCUCUGUCUGUCACAAUCACAGUUGGUAACAUAUCAUCUUGCAUAAUGGUUUUCAAUCUUUCUCUCGUUCGGACUCAAGAUAUGCAAAACCAACAUUAAAUGUCUUUGCAGUCGAUGUGUCACCAACUAUUUCUAACAACGGAAACUUAUACUUAUUGACUUUAUAAGUGCAGUCCAUUAUCAGAACACUUGGAAAAGCUUUUAACAAAUCAAAAGUAAGAGGAUGUGCCCAAAAUAUGUCUUUCACACAAUUUGUAUCAUCAUCACUCCGAUGCCACUCAAUGUAAUUAUGAUCAUGCAAUUUACUCAUAAGCUGUUGCAUUUGUGACCGUCCGCCCAAUUCGCGAACCUUAUAUUUAUACCGAGCAUUAUAAACCGUCUUCAUUGUUGUAACAUUAAAUGUAUCCCUAGUCUUUAAAGUAUGUAAUAUCUCUUUUGGCCGAACAUUAUUUUUAGACAAAUCAACCAAUAUACUAACAUCUUCAUUAGUAAGUCUACCUGCAAAUGAGUGGCCCUCAAGAUAUUGUGCAAAAUGAUGGUUAUGCAAUCCACAGAUUACUUUUAACACCCAAUCUUGAUUAUUCACCAACAUUUGACCCUUUAAUAAAAAUGGACAGCCACACUUUUUUGUUCCAAUUGCAUUCGGUCUUUUCUUCUUUUCCAAGUCGCUAUUCUGCUUAGACAUGUUGGUACUUCUUUUCGGAUAUGCACCACUUCUUUCACAAGCAAAAAUUAUCCUUGGUCUCCUUCCAAUCACAUUCACGUCAGAUCUUUUAAUAAUAAUCACAAGUCCAUUUUUUUCCCAACAUCAUGCAUCCAUCGAAUCAACUUGUCUCUACUGGUGAAAACCUAUGAGAAAGACAAUAAUAUAUUAGUUAAUGAUACAAAGAAAAGAGAAUAUAUGUAUGAAAAUUUAUUUAGCAUUUUACCUCUUCAGUAGUGAAUGCAGCAGUGUAAUCCAUAACAUCUACUUUAUUAUCAAGAAUGGCAACUAUGGUAGAACUUUCCUCCUUCACAAUCAUUGUAAGAUAUUACAUAAGUUAAUACAAGACACAAAACUCGAAUAAUAGCAAUUUAUUCAGCAAUAAUCAACCAAACAAUUGACAUUUGUUAAGGGGAUAUUUGUUGAACAUUGUUCAACGCUCUCCUUGUCAUUAUAAUUCUAAAACAAUAAAUUAAUAGCAAACUUACUUUUUUAUUAUCAUCCUCAUAUGUUUGCAUGAAUACUUUGCCCUAAAUUUGAAACUCUUAGAUUAGGGUUUAAGAAAGAAAAGAGAGUUUAUACCGUAUGCCGUAUAAAGAAUUUAAAACUCUUAAACAAAAAUAUGCCGUAUAAGAAAUUUUUAAGGGGAAAAAAAUAUUUGAUUUUGAGUGGGGGUUUAAUUAGAAAUUGUCUUAUUAUGUAAUUUUAAUAAAGGUUNNNNNNNNNNNNNNNNNNNNNNNNNNNNNNNNNNNNNNNNNNNNNNNNNNNNNNNNNNNNNNNNNNNNNNNNNNNNNNNNNNNNNNNNNNNNNNNNNNNNNNNNNNNNNNNNNNNNNNNNNNNNNNNNNNNNNNNNNNNNNNNNNNNNNNNNNNNNNNNNNNNNNNNNNNNNNNNNNNNNNNNNNNNNNNNNNNNNNNNNNNNNNNNNNNNNNNNNNNNNNNNNNNNNNNNNNNNNNNNNNNNNNNNNNNNNNNNNNNNNNNNNNNNNNNNNNNNNNNNNNNNNNNNNNNNNNNNNNNNNNNNNNNNNNNNNNNNNNNNNNNNNNNNNNNNNNNNNNNNNNNNNNNNNNNNNNNNNNNNNNNNNNNNNNNNNNNNNNNNNNNNNNNNNNNNNNNNNNNNNNNNNNNNNNNNNNNNNNNNNNNNNNNNNNNNNNNNNNNNNNNNNNNNNNNNNNNNNNNNNNNNNNNNNNNNNNNNNNNNNNNNNNNNNNNNNNNNNNNNNNNNNNNNNNNNNNNNNNNNNNNNNNNNNNNNNNNNNNNNNNNNNNNNNNNNNNNNNNNNNNNNNNNNNNNNNNNNNNNNNNNNNNNNNNNNNNNNNNNNNNNNNNNNNNNNNNNNNNNNNNNNNNNNNNNNNNNNNNNNNNNNNNNNNNNNNNNNNNNNNNNNNNNNNNNNNNNNNNNNNNNNNNNNNNNNNNNNNNNNNNNNNNNNNNNNNNNNNNNNNNNNNNNNNNNNNNNNNNNNNNNNNNNNNNNNNNNNNNNNNNNNNNNNNNNNNNNNNNNNNNNNNNNNNNNNNNNNNNNNNNNNNNNNNNNNNNNNNNNNNNNNNNNNNNNNNNNNNNNNNNNNNNNNNNNNNNNNNNNNNNNNNNNNNNNNNNNNNNNNNNNNNNNNNNNNNNNNNNNNNNNNNNNNNNNNNNNNNNNNNNNNNNNNNNNNNNNNNNNNNNNNNNNNNNNNNNNNNNNNNNNNNNNNNNNNNNNNNNNNNNNNNNNNNNNNCUUGGCCGUACAGCAGUACAUUUAUUUUAAUAUCACAUUUAUAUUUAUUAUAAAAUAUAAAAUUAAUAAAAUUAAAGAGUAUUGCAGUAAAGUAAAAAAAAAAGUCUUAUUAUCCCAUAUUCACGGUAUGAGUUUCUACAAAAUUAUUUCCUCAAAUGGGUGACCUUUCCUCAUUUUCAAAAGAAAAAAUAAAGUAAGAAUAAGUCCAGGGUUUCAAAAACUUCUAGUCUUAUCCCAAGACCUCCAUUGUCUACCACUAUGACUAAUGGAAAUGACAUUGCAAUUGACAUUGCUUUUCGCAACAUGACAAAUUUUUGGUGGGAUAUGAGAGAAUUGUCAAAAGUUCAUGCCGCGUGAGAGUUUUUGGUGGGAUGUGGGAGAAUUGUCAAAAGAUCACACCACGUGAUAUAACCAUAAUUGCUACAAUUUUUUUUAAUAAUGAUGGGAGUUAUAAAUUAUUUAUAUAAAUUUGUGUAGAAACUAAUGUAACAUAAAAGAAGUAGCUGAAUAACAAUAUUUGGUGCUUUAGGUAAUUUUUAUAUGAGCCUUUCUUUUAUUUAGCGACUUUAGUGCUUAAACAAAUUUGUCCUCGAUCUUAAUUUACUUACCCCAUUUAAGCCUAUGAUGACAUAAACAUAUUCUUUUGUGACGAAAACAUCAAGAGAAGACAUCUCAUGUUUUAUUAUAACACAAAAGAAGUGGUCCAAACGUCUAUUCAUUCUUUUAUUUACUCAAUAUGAAUGGCCAACUUUAAAAAAUGAUAAAAAUCACACCACGCUCAACUGAAAAUUUAUAAUUACAUUUUUUAAUACUCUCUAUACUCUCUAGCCUCUCUCUCCUGCCCCCUUUUUUUUUUAAAAAAUAAACCUUAGUGUAAAAUUAGAAGAAUUUUAGAUAUAACAUUUGACAAUCGCUAAAUAGAAAAGUAGGGGAUUGAAAAUAGAGGAGCUCUGUUAUCAUUGGAAUAUUGAUUAUAGAUCAUAUAAUAACUUGUUGUGGUUCAUUGUAGCACUCUGAGUCAUAUUCUAAAAUUUAUAGGUUUCUUAAGGUUUUUAUUAUUGACAUUAUUGUGUCAAUACUAUUAUAAUUUAUUCAUUUUAUUGUAAUGAUAAUUUGUCUAGUCUUAGGUACUUAUUAUAUUAAAUUAUGUAAAUUAAUUGAGAAUACAUUUAGAGACAAAAGAAACACGUGUAUGUAGGAUUAAUAAUCGCAGAGUUGUAAAUGAAGGUGAUUGCUUCAUUGAGAGGCAUAUUAAAUAAUUAUGGAGAGUUGCACUAUUUCGGAAGCAUAUAUUUAUACUUCCCUAUCAGGAUUUGGGGUAAGCGAAGUGCUUUAUGUGUUGUAGUAAGCAAUGUGGGCAAUAUCGGAGGCGAAAUAUUAAAAGAUCAUAACGCAUAUAUUUGAGCCAUUUAUAUUGAAGACACGUAUUGAAGACACGUAUAGAGGAAAGAGUGCAUAUCCGGCGGUAACUAUUAUCAGGCUUUCCUAAAAUAUUCUCAUGCUUCCUCAACUGUUCUGAACUAUUCUUCAUAGUGGGCAGAUUUACUUAAAUACCCUUCUACCUAACAAAACUUGGUACUUCUAAUUGCACUCGCAGAGAAUCUAUAAAAUUAAAAAAAAAUUCAUCCAUGAAAAGCCUCGUAACAGAAAAACCAUCUUUCAAAAAAUAAUAAUAAAAUAAAAACAGAAAAACCGACUCAUUUAUCUGCCAAUGAACCAAUCGGGACUCAUUUAAAAAAGAUUACAAAGCAAAAGUAAAUGACACAAAUUGCAUAGAUAUCUAGGAGCCGCAUCAAAGGGCAAUGGUGUUAAUUUGUCCGAGUAAUAAUUAAUUUCAAUAUUAAUUUUUAAAAUGGAAAUUAAUUUAUUUAUAUUUAUAAAAUAUUUGUAAUUAUUUUAAAAUUUUAACUAAAUCCUUAGGUUAAAUAGAUUUUACAAUUAAUAUAAUAUUUCUCAUGUAUUAAUAAUAUUAAAAUUAUUUUAUAUGAUAUUGAAAAUAACCUAAAUUUUUAUAUAUUUAUUUGAAUAUUAUGUCUCUAUUUAUUAUAAUUUGGUUUAAUAGAAUACGAGAUUGUAAAAUAUUAAAAUUUUUNNNNNNNNNNNNNNNNNNNNNNNNNNNNNNNNNNNNNNNNNNNNNNNNNNNNNNNNNNNNNNNNNNNNNNNNNNNNNNNNNNNNNNNNNNNNNNNNNNNNNNNUCCUAUUUAUAUUUAUCAUAAAUUAUUAGAGUUAAUUUUUUUAGUUAAUAAAUUUAAAAACUAUUCUAAUUUUAAAAAAAAGUCUUAUUGUCUAUUAUUCAUGAUAUGAGGUUCUACAAAAUUAUUUCUCCAGACGGAUGUCCUUUUCUUAUUUUCAAAAGGAAAAACAAGUUCAGGGUCUCAGGGGUUUCAAAAAUUCUGGUCCUAUCUACCACUAUGACUAAUGGGAAACAACAUUGUAAUUGACAUUGCUUUUCACAAUAUGACAAAUUAUUGGAGGGAUAUGGGAGAAUUGUCAAACAUUCACACCACGCGAGAGCUUUAGUGUGGGAUAGGGGAGGAUUGUCAAGAGUUCACACCACGAGAAACUAAUGAUAGGCCCAAUUUCAUUGUCAAUUCUUUAUUUAUUUCAUGCAUUAUUGUUUUUCUAAAGGUAUAAAAGCAAAGUAAAAUACUAGGGGCGCUUUUAAGUUACAAUUGAUGUAACUUACAAUUUUUUCAAAAAUAAUGUAAAAAAAUUAAUAGGUGGUGGGACCCACAUAUUUUUUAAGAGACUUAAGUUACGGCAGUUGUAACUUAACAAAAUUUAAAUAUUAGAUAAUAAUACAUAUUAAUAAUAUAUAAUUUGGGUUUGAUUUUUAAAAGAUUAUUUGAGUACCACCUAUCCUUAUGAUAUUAAUGUGACUAUAUCUUAAUAUUAAAUAAUCAAAAUUUGUUUAAUUGUUAUUUGUAUUUCAUACAUUACAUAUUAGAUUUGUUUGAAUUUUAAGUUGUUGCUAAUAAAUAUUUAUGUUGUCAAAGUCAAAUUCAAUAGCUACAAAAGCAGAGAUAAUGGUAUUGUAUAUAGUUUUUAAGAAUGCAAGGAUAAGCUGGAUAAUUGACAUAAAUUCUAAUGAUUAAAACAGCAACUAUCCCUUAAGUUAUAAUGUCAAUUUCUUUAAUUAGAUUUUUUUUUUUAUGUGAUAUAACCACAAUUGCUACAAAUUUUUUUUUUUAUAAUAAUAAUGGGAGUUAUAAAUUAUUUAUAUAAAAUUUGGGUUGAAACUAAUGUAACCUAAAAGUGGUUGCUGAAUAACAAUAUUUGAAACUUUAGGUAAUUUUCAUGAGUCCUUUUUAUAUUCAGCAACUUGAAUUGGGGGAAAUCCGACUUGAAUUGGCGGUUGAUUUUCGUGAUGUGGCUUUUGGUUUAUGGCGACCUUACAGUGGCAGAAGACUGGAUUUACGGUUGCCGACUGCUAGGGAUUAUGGUGGGGGUGUAAAUUGACGGAAAAAGAAGGUGUUUUGGUGGCGGCGCGUGUAGGAAGCACUCGUGGGUUGUCGUUUCGUGUGGUGGCGGGCGGCGAUCAAGGGCUGAAGUUGGUCGGUUUUUGGUCAACGGAGGCCGGCGAGUUUGUUGGUGGAGGUGGCUGGUGGAGAAAGUGACUGAAUGGUGGUGGGUUGCUUGGUGGAGCCGCGGGUUUGGGUUGGUGAUUUGUGGCUGUUCAAGCGGCGGUUGAGGCAGCGAUGACUGAGGCUUGGUCGACGGUGGCUAGUGAGGUUUGUGGUGGUGUUGGCUGACUGAUCGGCGGUGGUGGGCGGCCGUGGAGGUUGAUGUGACGGGUAGGGUUUUCAAAUUUGUAAAUUUUUUUUUUUGAUGGAUUUGGUUUGGAUGGGUAUCGUGUAUCUAGGAAAGAUGUGCGAUUCGCACAGAAUCCCUUUGACACCAAUUGAUGGAGCGAGGCGUAGCGGAAGCGGAAUUGAUAGGGUAAGAAACAUUAGAUAUUGUUCUAGUACUAGACCAAGCCAACGCAAUUAGCUUACGCUCUAAUCGAAGCGUGAUUAGAUAUCGUUCUAAUCCAAAUAACUCAAUACGAUUUUUAAUAAUGCGUAAUACGAGAUUAAAUGACACUCUAAUCCAAACGACUCUACAAGAGAGAUUUUGAUAAAUAAUCAUAGAGGGGUUUUAUUUAAUAAUUGAACCUGAAGUUAAUGAAAAUAAUGACAAGACAUCUUUAUUUUUUUUUAUUACAGACAUCUUUAUUUAUAAUAAAAGAAACCCGCUUUCCUAAGUUAACCUAAAAAGAAAAUUUAAAUCAUAAUUAUAAUGGAAAUAAAAGAUUAAGAUACAUAUCAUAAUUGACUCAAACUAAAAUAGAAAAUCAUAAAAUAAUAAAUAUUCUAAAAUUAUAAAUUAUCUAAAAUAACGUUAAUUAACUUCCUAAAUCACUUCUUUGGUGUAAACCAUUUUGCAUCCAAACUCGCUUUAAAGGUUUGAACUAACGUUACCAACAACAAUGUAUCAAAUUCCAAUCUAACUUAAGAUCUUGAUGCAUCUAUCGAUGUCCUUGUUUGAUUAGACAAUAAUGAGUCUAUCUCAUCACUUGUUACCUCUUUCUUGAAAGCUACAUCUGUUGAAGUGAUAGCCUCACUUAGAGUUUAAAGAUCUUCUUCCCUGUUAAAUAAAAUGGGCAUUUGAGUAAAAAGCUUUAUCUCUAUCUCCUUCUAUCAAAUAACGACAACUAUCCAAAGGGAAAAAAAAAAUUAGAAAAGUCCAUGGGUCACAAUAAUUUAUGGUCUGUCUCCGGACCCCAUUAUCUGCCACUAUCAAUGAUGAAAAUGAAAAUAAAUGGCAUCUUCCCUAAAUGGCAAAAGAUUUUUGGGGGAUAUAGGGGAAUUGUCAAAAGUUCAUACAACGCGAAAUAAGUGUUACAUCCAAUUUUAUUUCGUCAUAUAAUGAUAAUAUUCUGCUAAGUUAAGCUGUUGUAACUUGCAGUCCCUUAAAAAAUAAUGUAAAAAAUCCACAUUUGUUUGAAGAGGCUGUAAGUUAUAGUAGUUGUGACUUAGCAAAAUCCAAAUAUUAGACAAUAACGCACAUUAACAAUGCAUAUAAUUUGGGUUUGAUUUUUAAAAAAAUUAUUUGAGUAUUAGCUAUCCUUAAGAUAUUAAUGUGAAUAUAAUUUAAUAUUUAAUAAUCAAAAUCUGUUUAAUCAUAAUAUAUAUUUCAUACAUUGCAUGUUUAAUCAAAAUCUGAUUGCUUUUUACCUUCCAUUUACGCCCACUGUAGCAUUGUACUAUUCACCAUUUUAGAUGUUUAAAUGAAAUUUUUAUUUUUUUUCCAAAAAUAAAAUGACACCCUUAAAAUUUUAGAAAAUAGCCAUGUAGACCCCAAAAUUUUAAUAAAGAACACUAAUAUCCUUUUUAACUACAGCACUCUUAGUAGAUGGUAACCAAAAAAAAAAAAUUGAUUGCAAAAUUUUUUAGUAAAUGUAAAUAUGAUUUAAAUAGUUUAAAUUUUCUAGUAGACUAGUAUGUAUAAUUUAAAUAAUUAAUUUUUAAAAUGUAAUUUAAUAUAUUUAUUAUAAAAUUUUUAAACAAAUCCUUGGGUUAAAUAGAUUUUAUAAUUUAUAUAAUAUUUCUCAUGUUUUUAUGUUAUAGAAAUAUUAAAAUUAUUUGAUAUGAUAUUGAAAAUAAUUAAACAUUUUAUAUAUUUAUUUGAAUAUUAUGUCUCUAUUUAUUAUAAUUUGGUUUAAACAUCCGCCUUGGCCGUACAGCAGUAUUGAAAUUAUUUUAAUAUGUACAUAUUAUUAUAUUUAUUUUAAUAUCCUACUUAUAUUUAUUAUAAAAUAUUAAAAUUAAUUUUUUUAGUUAAUAAAUUUAAAAAAUAUUAUAAUUAUAAAAAGAGUCUUAUUGUCUGCUAUUCACGAUAUGAGAUUCUACAAAAUUAUUUUGAAAAUGAAAAAUAAGUCCAGGGGUUUCAACAAAUUCUAGUCCUAUCUGCCACUAUGACUAAUGGAAACGACAUUGCAAUUGACAUUGGUUUUCAUAAUAUGACAAAUUUUUGGAGGCAUAUGGGAGAAUCAUCAAAUGUUCACACUACGCGGGAGUUUUGGAUGGGAUCAGGGAGGAUUGUCAAGAGUUCACACCACGAGAAACCAAUGAUAGCCCUAAUUUCGCUGUCAGUUCUUUGUUUAUUUAUUUUAUUUAUUUCAUACAUUGUUGUCUUGUUGGCAUUGUUUUGUAAAAUAAAAGUAAAGUAAACUAUUAGGGUGCUGCUAGGUUAAGUUGUUGUAACUUACAGUCCCUUAAAAAAUAAUGUAAAAAAUUUAACAUGUGGUGGGAUCCACAUAUGUUUGAAGAGGCCGUAAGUUACAGUAGUUGUGACUUAGCAAAAUCCAAAUAUUAGACAAUAACGCACAUUAACAAUGCAUAUAAUUUGGGUUUGAUUUUUAAAAAAAUUAUUUGAGUAUUAGCUAUCCUUAAGAUAUUAAUGUGAAUAUAAUUUAAUAUUUAAUAAUCAAAAUCUGUUUAAUCAUAAUAUAUAUUUCAUACAUUGCAUGUUUAAUCAAAAUCUGAUUGCUUUUUACCUUCCAUUUACGCCCACUGUAGCAUUGUACUAUUCACCAUUUUAGAUGUUUAAAUGAAAUUUUUAUUUUUUUUCCAAAAAUAAAAUGACACCCUUAAAAUUUUAGAAAAUAGCCAUGUAGACCCCAAAAUUUUAAUAAAGAACACUAAUAUCCUUUUUAACUACAGCACUCUUAGUAGAUGGUAACCAAAAAAAAAAAAUUGAUUGCAAAAUUUUUUAGUAAAUGUAAAUAUGAUUUAAAUAGUUUAAAUUUUCUAGUAGACUAGUAUGUAUAAUUUAAAUAAUUAAUUUUUAAAAUGUAAUUUAAUAUAUUUAUUUUAAUAUUUUUAAACAAAUCCUUGGGUUAAAUAGAUUUUAUAAUUAAUAUAAUAUUUCUCAUGUUUUAAUAAUAUUAAAAUUAUUUGAUAUGAUAUUGAAAAUAAUUAAAACUUUUAUAUAUUUAUUUGAAUAUUAUGUCUCUAUUUAUUAUAAUUUGGUUUAAUAGAAUACGACAUUGUAAAAUAUUAAAAUAUUUUUAGGUAUUGAAAUUAUUUUAAUAUGUACAUAUUAUUAUAUUUAUUUUCUGCUGUACGGCCAANNNNNNNNNNNNNNNNNNNNNNNNNNNNNNNNNNNNNNNNNNNNNNNNNNNNNNNNNNNNNNNNNNNNNNNNNNNNNNNNNNNNNNNNNNNNNNNNNNNNNNNNNNNNNNNNNNNNNNNNNNNNNNNNNNNNNNNNNNNNNNNNNNNNNNNNNNNNNNNNNNNNNNNNNNNNNNNNNNNNNNNNNNNNNNNNNNNNNNNNNNNNNNNNNNNNNNNNNNNNNNNNNNNNNNNNNNNNNNNNNNNNNNNNNNNNNNNNNNNNNNNNNNNNNNNNNNNNNNNNNNNNNNNNNNNNNNNNNNNNNNNNNNNNNNNNNNNNNNNNNNNNNNNNNNNNNNNNNNNNNNNNNNNNNNNNNNNNNNNNNNNNNNNNNNNNNNNNNNNNNNNNNNNNNNNNNNNNNNNNNNNNNNNNNNNNNNNNNNNCUUGGCCGUACAGCAGAUAUCCCACUUAUAUUUAUUAUAAAAUAUUAAAAUUAAUUUUUUUAGUUAAUAAAUUUAAAAAUAUUAUAAUUAAAAAAAGAGUCUUAUUGUCUGUUAUUCACGAUAUGAGGUUCUACAAAAUUAUUUUGAAAAGGAAAAAUAAGUCCAGGGGUUUCAACAAAUUCUAGUGCUAUCUGCCACUAUGACUAAUAGAAACGACAUUGCAAUUGACAUUGCUUUUCUUAAUAUGACAAAUUUUUUUAGGGAUAUGGGAGAAUCGACAAAUGUUCACACUACGCGGGAGUUUUAGAUGGGAUCAGGGAGGAUUGUCAACAGUUCACACCACGAGAAACCAAUGAUAGCCCUAAUUUCGCUGUCAGUUCUUUGUUUAUUUAUUUUCAUUAUUUCAUACAUUGUUGUCUUGUUGGCAUUGUUUUGUAAAGAUAUAAAAGUAAAGUAAACUAUUAGGGUGCUGCUAAGUUAAGUUGUUGUAACUUACAAUCCCUUAAAAAAUAAUGUAAAAAAUCCACAUUUGUUUGAAGUGGCUGUAAGUUAUAGUAGUUGUGACUUAACAAAAUCCAAAUAUUAGACAAUAACGCACAUUAACAAUGCAUAUAAUUUGGGUUUGAUUUAAAAAAAAAAAAUUUUGAGUAUUACCUAUCCUUAAGAUAUUAAUGUAAAUAUAAUUUAAUAUUAAAUAAUCAAAAUCUGUUUAAUCAUAAUAUAUAUUUCAUACAUUGCAUGUUUCAUCAAAAUUUGAUUGCUUUUUACCUUCUAUUUACGCCCACUGUAGCAUUGUACUAUUCACCAUUUUAGAUGUUUAAAUGAAAUUUUUAUUUUUUUCCAAAAAUAAAAUGACACCCUUACAAUUUUAGAAAAUAGUCAUGUAGACCCCAAAAUUUUAAUAAAGAACACCAAUACCCUUUUUGACUAUAGUACUCUUAUGGUAGCCACAAAAAAAAAUUGACUUCAAAAUUUUUUAGUAAAUGUAAAUACGAUUUAAAUAGUUUAAAUUUUCUAGUAGACUCGUAUGUAUAAUUUAAAUAAUUAAUUUUUAAAAUGUAACUUAAUAUAUUUAUUUUAAUAAUAUAUUUAUUAUAAAAAUUUUAAACAAAUCCUUGGGUUAAAUAUUUUUAUAAUUAAUAUAAUAUUUCUCAUGUUUUAAUAAUAUUAAAGUUAUUUUAUAUGAUAUUGAAAAUAAUUUAAAGCUUUAUAUAUUUAUUUGAAUAUUAUGUCUCUAUUUAUUAUAAUUUGGUUUAAUAUAAUACGAGAUUGUAAAAUAUUAAAAUAUUUUUUGGUAUUGAAAUUAUUUUAAUAUGUACAUAUAUAUUAUAUUUAUUUUAAUAUCCUACUUAUAUUAUUAUAAAAUAUUNNNNNNNNNNNNNNNNNNNNNNNNNNNUUUGCAACUGCUGUACCGUACAUCCGCCUUGGCCGUACAGCAGCUACUUAUAUUAUUAUAAAAUAUUAAAAUUAAUUUUUUUAGUUAAAAAUUUAAAAAAAUAUUACAGUUAAAAAAAAAGAGUCUCAUUGUCCGUUAUUCACGAUAUGAGAUUCUAUAAAAUUAUUUUCAAAAGGAAAAAUAUGUCCAGGAGUUUCAACAAAUUCUAGUCCUAUCUGCCACUAUGACUAAUGGAGACGACAUUGAAUUGACAUUGCUUUUCGCAAUAUGACAAAUUUUUGGAGGGAUAUGGGAGAAUCAUCAAGCGUUCACACCACGCGAGAGCUUUAGGUGUGAUAUGGGAGAAUUGUUAAGAGUUCACACCACGAGAAAUUAAUGAUAGGCCUAAUUUCGUUGUCAGAUCUUUAUUUAUUUUUUAUUUAUUUCAUACACUAUUGUCUUGUUGGUAUUGUUUUGUAAAGAUAUAAAAGUACAAGUAAAAUAUUAGGGGAAGUAAAGUAAAAUAUUGGAGGUGCUACUAAGUUACAGCUGCUGUAACUUACAGUUCCUUAAAAAAUAAUGUAAAAAAUUUAACACGUGGUGGGACCCACAUUAUGUUUGAAGAGGUCGUAAGUUAUAGCAGUUGUAAAUUAGUAAAAUCCAAAUAUUAGACAAUAAUACAUAAUAACAAUGCAUAUAAUUUGAGUUUGAUUUUUAAAAAAAUUAUAUGAGUAUUACCUAUCCUUAAGAUAUUAAUGAGAAUAUAUUUUAAUAUUAAAUAAUCAAAAUCUGUUUAAUCAUAAUAUGUAAUUCAUACAUUGCAUGUUAGAUUUGUUUGGAUUUUAAGUUGUUGCUAAUAAAUAUUUAUGUUGUGAAAGUCGAAUUCAAUAGCUACAAAAGCAGAGAUAAUGGUAUUUUAUGUAGUUUUUAAGAAUACAAGGAUAAGUAGGGGUGGGCAAAUCGGGUUUCGAUUCGGGUUGUUCGGGUUUCGGAUUGGGUUUCAACCCGUUCGGGUUGGAGAAUUGAACCCAAUCGGGUUGAAAGCACCAACCCGAACCAAACCGAACCGAAUUUAAUUCGGUUCGGUUCGGUUUGGGUUGGCAAUUCGGAUCGGAUUGGGUUGAUAAUUCGGGUUAAAAUUUCGGUUCGGGUUAAUUCGGGUUAGAAUGGGUUGGAACAAUUUAAUCUAAAAAUUCUAACAACAACCACUUAAAAUCUAAAAAUUUAAAUUUCAAACAUUCUUAACAACAAAUAUCAAUUACAAAUCAUCCUUAAUAACAUUUCAACAAUUUAAAAAUCUCAAUUCCAAACAUUCCAAACAUCCUUAAGGAACGAUUUAAUCUAAAAAUUAUAACAACCUCUUAAAAUCCAAAAAUCUUAAUUCCAAAUAUCCUUAAUAACAAAUAUCAUCUACAAAUCAUCUUUAAUAACAUUUCAAUAAUUUAAAACUCUCAAUUCCAAACAUCCUUAAUAACAAAUAUCAACUACAAAUCAUCUUUAAUAACAUUUCAAUAAUUUAAAACUCUCAAUUCCAAACAUCCUUAAUAACAAAUAUCAACUACAAAUCAUCUUUAAUAACAUUUCAAUAAUUUAAAACUCUCAAUUCCAAACAUCCUUAAUAACAAAUAUCAACUACAAAUCAUCUUUAAUAACAUUUCAAUAAUUUAAAACUCUCAAUUCCAAACAUCCUUAAUAACAAAUAUCAACUACAAAUCAUCUUUAAUAACAUUUCAAUAAUUUAAAACUCUCAAUUCCAAACAUCCUUAAUAACAAAUAUCAACUACAAAAAAAAAAAAAAAAAAAAGCUUCAACCCGAACGGGUUGAAGCUUUGAAUCCGUUCGAGUUUCACCGGUUAACCCAAACCGAACCGAACGCCCACCCUAAGGAUAAGACCAUAACGCAUGAGAUAAUGGUAUUUUAUAUUAAAAGACCAUAACACAUGUAUUUGAGCCAUUUAUAUUGAGGACACAUAUAGAGCGAAGAGUGCAGAUCCGGCCGUAACUAUUGUGAAGCUUCCCUCAAGUAUUCCCAUGCACACAACCCUUAUCUGUUCAAGUUUUCUGAUUCAAUAUAAUCAAUUUCCGAGCAGUACUGACGACAGCUUCUCUGUAAAGCUCUUCAACCACAAGCAUUUCUACAAGGCAAAAGACUAGGACGUGUCGGAAUGAAUAUCAAUAAGGGAAUGUCUUAUGAAUUCAGUUUAUAUCCUAAUAUAAGACAAUCAGUAAAUAUUGGAUGCAAUCUUAGGCUAACAUUUGGUUGAUCAUUAUACAAAAAAAAAGGUACAAAAAUACAAAACAGAGCUGAUUGAUGGCCUCUCACAGUCAGUUAUAUGACAAAGUAGCCAUCACUACUUGAACUUGGCUGGAGGUCUCAUUAGCAGUAUACCUCAGAAAUUAAUACAGAGACUUUAAAAUGCAAACUUAUGGAGCAAUUUAAGCACUGAAACUAAUAACAGUACGGUAUUAGCAAUUGACCUCUGCUUUUUGCUUGGACAAAGGUUCUCAUCACAAGGGACUCAUUAGUUGCCCUUGCCUCACACUUUUGGAUGCUAAGGGGAAAAAGGAAGCUUGAAUUAGUCAAUCUCAUGUCUAAUGGCAUUCACAGAGAACCUAUAAAACCAAAUAAAUAAAUAAAGUUUUCAUCCAUGAAAAGCUUAGUAAUGGAAAAACCGACUCUUUUAUCUGCCACUGACGAAAAAAAAACUGAAGUAUUAAAUAGAUAAUGAAUUUAAUUUUUUUCUUGGAAAAACUAAUAAUAAAUUAACAAUUAGAUAGUACUAUUAAUUAGAGAUCUUUAAUAUUAAGGUUAUCAAAUAUAGAAUGUGUAUAAAAAUUCUUAAUUAUAAGAUAAUUACUAACUAAAAAGAGGCCUAAAAAAGAAGAUUUGCUAUUAUAAGUAAUACCAAAAAUAAAAAGGGAGACUUCCUAAUUGUUUAAUUGUUAAAAAAGAGGAUUUGUUAUUAUAGGCCUAAUUUGCCUAUGCUUAAAACCGUUCCCGGAUGUAAAAAAAUAAAAAUUAUUGUUAAAUUCCUGACUAAUAAGGUCAUUGAAAGUAUUCAAAGGACCUGAACUAUACCACGUUGCAAGUGAGCUCGUAUUUUUAUCCCUUGAUCUGCCAUCGGUAUUUCUCUUCCACUCACUAUACCAUCCUUUUCAAUCGAUUUUUAUUGAUCAUAAGAGACCAUGUGGCCCACCUUUUUUUUAUUUUGGAUCCAUAACCCAAUGCUGGCCCAAGUUAAACAGCAAAUCAUCAAACGCACUUCAAUGACUUUGAUUUUGAUUUUUUUUUUCAAAAGAAGUAAAAAAAUCCAUGGGUCGCAAUAACUGCUGGGAAAUUUAUAAAAAUAGUCAUAAAAUAUUUGUAUUUUUUAACUUUAAUCCCUUAAAGUUUUUUCUAUCAUAACUAGCCAAAUACCCUACUUUUGGACUAGAUUACCCUCAUCACUUUUAUCAAAUUUAUAAAGACAUGCCACUUUUUCAAUUCCAGCACAACUAAAUACGGUUCUUCUUCAAUAACUUAACAAACAUUUAUCACUCUCAACAAACUUCAUCACUCUCUAUAAAUCAAUUACAUAAUUGAAUAUAAUCAUCAAUGGGAGAGCUUCUUAAAAUUAGUUUAUGCUUUUACACAAUGUAAAUCUUUAAUCUAUUGAUUUUAUCAACUAAGUUCGAAAUUAAAGUGGGUUUUGUUACAAAUAUUGUUAUUUUUCAUUCAUAAAACAAUGUGAUUUGUUAAAGUACUUAGUUUGAGUUGAGAAAUGAAGAAAAAUCAUUGAAAAUAUAGAAAAAUCGGGCAAAAAACGAAGUUCAGAACAAGUGAGAUAGGCAAGUGGGACAGGUGCAUGUCUCACAUAAACGCACUGCAUUUAUGUGCGACAGGCACCUGUCCCACUGCUUGUCGCACAUAAACCCAUAAAUUUUAUAGAGUACAUGAUUUUGGAUUUGAUUUGUCUCGUCAUAAGCUUCGAAACAGUAUAUUAUACGCCUAAAACGAACAUAUGUAGCUCAAGUUAUAGCUUUUGCAAUAUAUAUGAAAUUUAGUGAGACAGGCACCUGUCCCACUUGCCUGUCUCACUAAAUUUCAUAUAUGUUUCAAAAAUCAUAACUUGAGCUAUAUAUGUCCGUUUUAGACGUAUAAUAUAUCAUUUCAAAGUUUAUGAUGAGACAAAUCAAAUUCAAAAUUAUGUACUCUAUAAAAUUUGUGGGUUUACGUGCGAUAGGCAAUGGGACAGGUAAAAUGAAUAAACUCUGAGCCUCUCUCUAUAACACUAUAUAGAACCCUAAGCCUAAGUCUCACAUUCGCAACCGCCCCACAUAUCAGAACCACAGCGAACUGCCUCCGACCCUACGGACCCAAAAAAAUUAUUGUAUUCCUGCUCUUUCACUUCAAUAAUUUUUUGUAUUAUUCCAUAUCUUUCACUUUAAUAACCCAAAAGCUUUCCUCUGUUUCAACCCAAAAGCUCAAAUUCCUUUUUUCAAUCGAAAUAAAACGUAGCCACAAAACCCUAAUUCACCACACCAAUUUAUCUCUGCCCGGUAUUCAUUUAAACCCUACCUCGCGGUUCAAUGUCAUUCAAUACGAUUGCAGAUGCCGUUUCAACUUGACAUUUAGUUAGCGCCAUCCCGUUCUCUAUGGUAAGCCUUAACCCUAACAACUAAUCGACUGUGGUAGCACGUUGCUUGUUAGGAGUGGGGAUACAUUAUUUGAAUAUAUGAAUUGGGUGAUGUUAGUGAUUCAUUCCCCUAUUUUUCGUGAAUUGAGAUUUGUGUAUAAUGCUAGUAAGAUUGCUAAAAAUUUCAUAUUUUGUAUUGUUCCAGUUGAAUUUCAUGUUAAUUUAAUUCUUCUUUGCCUUCUUUUUUCUUCUUCUUUAUAGUCACGCUCUGGCUUUGGUGCUAUGCUUAGUGCAGUUUAUGGUUUCAAGAUUAAGUCACGUUUAUUUGAUGGCAUCGAUUCCAUCAUUAAGAAGCUCUUCUUAUUUUAUCUCAGUUUCAAUUUUCUUUUAUUAUCUGCCUCUACCUGAAAAUGGACGUGUUUUACUAGUAAGCAUAGACUUUGUUUAUUUAAUUGAUAUUAUAAUUUUAUGUAUAAGAAUGGAGGUUUAUUUUGAAAAAAAAAAAGAAAUAAAAAAAUAGACUCUGUUGAAGCUAAUUAGUACUGAAUUUUUUUUGGUGGUGCGACCAGAGGUGGAAACAGGGUAUGAAAAUGUGUUACUGGUGAGGUUGCUGCUUAAGAUGAGAAUGGCUAAAAAUCUGUCAUACGUUCAAAUUUUGUUUGUGUUUGGAAGAAUGGUGUUGACUGUAUAUUCGUUUGGAAGAAUGGUGUUGAUUGUAUAUUCAUUUGCUUAGCCUUUUGACAGAUGGAUUUGAAACUGACGACAAAUGUGAUUCAAUUUACAAGGUUUUCGAGGGGCUCACAGUGGAAGGGAUAUUGAAGAACUGGUCUAAGAUAAAGCCUAUGAUUGUGAAAGAUUGGAGUGAGAAUAUAGAUGCUCGUUUAAAUCUUUUUGGCAAGGUCAGAGAUGAAUGGAUAGAUAAGGAUUUAUUUGACUACUUCGUCUGGUGCUAAUAGGUAUUUUAGGCAAGCUUUUUGAGAUAACACUGAGCAAGUUAUACUACUAGUUUGCACAUGAUGAUCAAAACUCUCGAAAAGUAAAAUAAAAUAAAUUAUUAACUUUUACUUUCAUCUUUUGCAUAGCAAUCAAUGUGGUGCUUGUUCUGUGACAACUUUGAUAAUCUACUUAAUUAUUGGUUAGCAUUUGGACCAAAAAAGUUCUUAUGAUUUACAUGUUUUGUAGAAAUGCAUGAACCUUAAAUGUGCUGAUCAGGGAGUUUAAUUAUUGCACCUUGAAAUUCAUUUAUUGUUAACUAAUUGGCUUUCCUUUGCAUAAAGCCGCUUAUAAGGCUUGAGUGGACGUCUUUAUGGGCAUAUUAUUUGUAUUUCUAUAUGCAUGCCUUUAUCAUUAAUUUAUGUGCUGCUUGUAUUUCUUUAUGCAUGCCUUUAUCAUUUAAUGGCCAGCUCCCUCUCCUCUUUUGUAAUUUGAAUAGUAGUAUGGGCCUCCAUUUUACAAAUCUUUAACAUUUUUUGCUGUAAAUUAAUUUUUCUUCAAAUAUUUUGGAGGUCAUUGGAAUUCCUGUAGGUCUAUUUACCAGAUUUUAGUAUGUUUAAGGUUUUAAUUUUGCUUAGACUUUAAUUUCUCUGAAAGAUUGUAGUAUUGAUCCUCAAAGAAAGAUCAUGCUACUUCAAAUUAUUUUGAAGUGUUGCUAGUUAUAGCCUUACAUAUCAAAUUCCAUUUGUCUGGAAAUUUAUUGAUAGCUGUUACAGCAGCAUAUUUUAUGACUCUACUUCUUAGUUAUGUAAGUUCAUUAUGUUUAGGUCAGAGGCAGUCAGCUGUGGGGAAUUGAUAUAUACACAGAUGACUUUGAUCUUGUUGCCGGUAUGUGGUUCUAUGAAUAAUUGUUCACAAUAAUUGUGUUUGCCUCACUGUUUUUGUUUUAUGAGGUCUAUAAUUGAUCUUGAGAUAUUACUUUCUAGUUCUCAUGCAAGCAAGUUACUACCUUCCCACUGCAUCUCCUCCUUUAUCUGCUAUUCAAGAGUUGCGUGCCAUAAUCUGGUGUUACCUCUGCAAGAUUGUGAAUGAAUAUAAUGCCUCUAAAUUUAUUUUAUACAUAAUGCUGAUGCUGAAUAAUAUAUUGUAGCUCCUGUCAUAUUCUACUUUGACUUUUUAUAUUCUGUUUCAUAUAAAAAUCUUAUUCAACUUUAGUUGUUCAUGAGCAAAUGUCACAUGUAUAAGCCCAAAUGAUGUUUAAAGGUAGCGCGGCUACCUUUAGUUUGAGCCUACAAUGGAUGAAAAAGAAAUUGAAACUGAUAUUUUGCUGUUUUUCUGAUUUUUCAAAGUAUUUUAGAUCCUGACUUUUGUUUGGACUUGAUGGUUAUAGAUUGUGUCUAGAUUUGUUAAGUUGUUUCCAACACCUCGUGCCAAAUGAAAGCACAAUCUUUCUGAUUCAGAUGUCUUGUUAAUUUCGUUAAAGAAUGGAUGGUUGCAUGGAUUGAUGGAGUUGGAGUUCAACCAAUAAUUCUAAUUUUUUGGACUUAAAAUGCCUUUUUCUUCUGUAUAAAAACUUUAGUAAGUGCUAUUGAGUUGACAGAAGUUGAAUACUUACAGGUUGUUUCACACUUUUUAAUAGUUUUACAUAUAUGAAUUUCUGUUUUUUGAAUUGCAGAAAGGAGGUGGAACUAUUGAUUUGGAGCCUUAUCUUACUCAAUCAUCGACAGCGGAGCCUACCCUCGCUCCCAUGGCAGUGGAACGGACAACGACUACUAGGGCUGCAACAUCAGUUGGUUUGGGUCUGUUUUGAGUUUAUUUUCAUUUAUUUGGCUAUGUUUUGAUAGCGAAUUUUGAUAUGUCAAUAUAAUGUGUAAUUGUUUUGGGUUGAGCUGGUAAUUAUGCUGGAUUAGAUUGGUUUGGUUUUGGUGCUUCUCUGAUGGAACACUGUUUUUUUUAGAAAUUUUGAAUGUAAUAUGAGACUACAUUUAGUUUAAUUGAACACUGCAUCUAGUCUAAUUACUAGAAGUGUGGCAUUUGGUUUGGUUUAUCCGAUAUUCUCCAGAAUUUCACUUGCAUCUGGUUUUGUUGCAUAUGUUUGCUUGCAUUUGAUGGCAGUAGCAGACUGUUUGUUUUUGUGACAUUUGAUGGCAGUUUGGUCUGUUCUUGGUGUUGAUUUAAGAUUGUUCCUGUUGUGCUGAUGUUAAUUGCAGGUGCUUGAAUCAGCUAGGGUUGCUGGUUUAUUCAGAUGGUUGACUCAGGCGUUGUUACUGGUUAAUUCAGGUGGCUGACUCAAGUUGUUCAUUUAAUGUUAGGAAGCAAAUUAAGAAUUAAUGAAGUAUUCAUUUAACUAUAAUUUUUGUAGUUAUAUUAUUUCAUAACUGAAUUAUAAUCUAUGAUACUUUUGAACAAAUUAGAGAAUUUUUAAAUAUGAAUUAAAUAUGUGUGUGUAUGUACAUUUUGCUAUUUAUAUAAUAAUUUAAAGAAUAUAUUUCAAUUCCCACAAAAAUAAUGGCUCCAAUUUCAAUAAUUCCCGCCAAAUAAUUAAAUUUUUUUAAUUUACCACCAAAGUAUAUCUUAAAGAAAUUUUAGUUAUUCUUGCUAGAUUUAACAAAAAUAAUUUGUAGGAUUAAAUUUAAUUAAAAUAAUUAAAUAAUUUUAUUAUUCCAAUUAAAAAUGUCAUGUUUAUACGACAGACAAUAGUCAUGAAUGGGAAGUAUUCGUUACAUGUUUUUCCUUGGGAUUUCAGGCAAAUGAAAAAAAGAUUGAGAAUGAUUUCAAGAGGACAGGUGGAUGAUAAGUAUUCAUUUUUGUAUAUUUGGCUAAUGUCCUCAUUAGUGGAUUUUUAUGGUAUUGAUCUUUUUUUUUUUUUAAUUUUCAAUUAGUUGCAGCCCUAGAGGAAGAGCAGGCUGAUCAAAUUGAUUUGUCUUGUUUUUCGGGCAAUCUACGACACGAUGACCGUGAUAAUGCUCGUGACUGCUGGAAACUUUCUGAUGGAAAUAACUUUAGAGUUCGUAGCAAGCAUUUUUGUUAUGACAAAACAAAGGUAUUUGUUAUUUAUGGUACUUAUUUAUGGUAUUUAUAUAUCCUGCAUAGGCUAGGUAGACAGGUUAUGAUGUAGUUUGGUUGGCUCUUCUUGUGCUUUGUGCAAUUUGUAACUGCAGAUACCUGCGGGAAAACAUUUAAUGGAUCUUGUUGCUGUUGAUUGGUUCAAAGACACAAAGAGAAUGGACCAUGUAACUAGGCAUCAAAGCUGUGCUGCACAAGUAACUAUUCUUCUCUUUUUUAUUUUUCCUUUUCCAUUGACGGAUUAGAAGAAAAUACUGCCUGUGAGAUACUGUAAUGUAAAUAACUUCUCAUGGUUCAUUGAAUCUAUAACACACUGACCCUCUUCUAAAAAAUGUAGGUUGCUUCUGAAAAAGGGCUUUUCUCACUGAUCUUUAAUCUUCAAGUAAGUUUGUUUCAUUUCAGAAGGUAUUAAGUUUCAAACUUAUUGUAUUGGGAGGUUGUAUAGUUGUAACCUAAGCAUCUGCAGGUUCCUGGUUCAACACAUUAUAGUAUGGUAUUUUAUUUUGUCACAAGGCAAUUGGUUAUGGGAUCACUUUUGCAACGGUUUGUUGAUGGCGAUGAUGAGUUUCGCAAUAGUAGGUUGAAACUUAUUCCAUCUGUUCCUAAGGUAUCCAUCUUGGCCUUCAUGUAUUAGGACUAUAUUAACGUAUACUUACCCUUUACUGCAUGGUACACUUCAAUUUGUCCAAAGAAGGCAUGCAUUUAGGUGUAAAUGUAUUGAUGGGUUGUACCUUCAAACUUCAUGUCCUUUUUACCCUCUUGAAUUUGUUUUGCACUUGUUCUUGAUUUUAAGCACUGAACCAUGCAGGGGUCAUGGAUCGUGCGCCAGAGUGUUGGAAGCACCCCUUGCUUAUUGGGGAAAGCAGUUGAUUGUAACUAUAUUCGCGGUCCCAAGUACUUAGAAGUAAAUGCUCUUGGAAUUUCUAUAGUACAUGAGAUGUUCAUCUUUCAAAUAGCAUCCGAUACCAUUAACAUGGUUUAACAUUGUUCAUCUUUCUGUAGAUUGAUGUUGACAUUGGUUCUUCUACCGUUGCUAAUGGAGUUUUGGGCCUUGUAAUUGCUGUAAUUACGACAUUGGUGGUUGACAUGGCUUUCCUUGUACAGGUAUGUAUGAUUGUUUUUUUCCCCCACUUCUAAAUGGACACAAGGGAAAAGACAUGAUUUUGAGAUAUUGCACUGCAAUUUGCAUUUUUGCAUACUUGAAUGUUCUCAGAAUGGUAUAAUGCUUCGUGUGUGUCUUCUUUAUCUUGCUCUUCUGUAUGCAGGCAAAUACUACAGAUGAAUUACCGGAGCGGCUGAUUGGUGCUGUACGUGUUUCUCAUAUAGAACUCAAGUCUGCUGUUGUCCCAAAGUUGGAACCAGAGAUAUCAUGACUCUGGUUUCAUUUCACCUCAACUGUGUUUUUUUUUUAAUUAAAAAAAAUCAUUUGUUUUAGGUAUAUACAUACAUGUAUUUUGAUUCGAUUUUCAUUGUAAUUUCUCAUUUACUUCGAAUGAAAGUCAUUGGUGUUUUCGAAUGGGGAUUUUGCAUUAAAAAAUGAACAAUAGUGAAUAGGAAAUUUCCUGAUUCUUUAGUUACUAUUUUUGGUACGAGUGUAAUUAGUAGUAAAGUUGGUUUCUACUCGCAAACAAGUGAGCUGCUCGAUUCCCACUUGUUUAAGAGAUACUACUAUUAAAACUCAACAGCUAACAAAAUUACUCAAAAAAGAUGAUUUUUCUUAUGAUGCUGUGAAGAAAAUUACGGGUUUACUUCUCUCCACGAGAUCUAUAACAUGGUUUUGACUUCACGAAAUUCUUUUAAUUUAAAGCAUGCUGGUGUGAGAAGGUCAGUUUGACUGAUUGAUUCUUCAAAAAUAUUCUUAUUCUGAUAUUGUCACAAAUGUUAUGCUGUUUCGGCUAAUGAUCUCCUAUUAGGAGAGGUUAGAAAUCAAAUGCUUAAAAGACCGAUUGAACGAAUAAUACAGAAAAUUUAAGCAGAAUCUAAUCGAAUAUUGCAUGAAACAUGAAACAUCAAUUCAAGUCCUUUCUUAAACGGAGAAUGCAUCAAACAAAAUCUAAAGUGUCUUGCACGUCUGUAGCAUGAGCAAAAAAUUGUAAAUAUGUAGAACCAAAUUAUUCAAGUACAGAAGAACGAGCAAGCUGAAUCAUGUAUUAGAGAUUGGCCUGGUUCGGGAUAGCUUCUUCACUAUACCUGAAUAAUUUGCUAAAUAGCACCAAAACUUAAUUGAUACUUACCAUUUCAUUGAACAAUUUUUUUAUGGUGUCAUUGAGGUUGCCUUCCCAACAUCCUUCAUCAUCAUCAUCUUUUUCUUCUUCGGUGACGUUCACUUUGUUUAGCAUUGGUGUGUCUAAGACUCCUUGAGAGAAGAUCUUCAUUUUUGGACACUGUCUCACAACUACUUGUUUCAAGGACGGGAAUUCAAGAGCGUAAUUACCCAAACAAAAGCUUGUUAGGCUUGGCAAACAAU